UACGUAGGGGCAAGCGUUGUCCGGAUUUAUUGGGCGUAAAGAGCUCGUAGGUGGUUCGGUAAGUCGGAUGUGAAAUCUCCAGGCUCAACCUGGAGGGUCAUUCGAUACUGCCGUGACUAGAGGUCGGUAGGGGAGUGUGGAAUUCCUGGUGGAGCGGUGAAAUGCGCAGAUAUCAGGAGGAACACCCGUAGACGAAAGGCGGCACUCUGGGCCGAUACUGACACUGAGGAGCGAAAGCGUGGGGAGCAACGG
rnacentral:rRNA from 1 species